rnacentral:rRNA from 1 species
AUGGCGACCGGCGCACGGGUGAGUAACACGUAUCCAACCUGCCGAUGACUCGGGGAUAGCCUUUCGAAAGAAAGAUUAAUACCCGAUGGCAUAGUUCUUCCGCAUGGUGGAACUAUUAAAGAAUUUCGGUCAUCGAUGGGGAUGCGUUCCAUUAGGUUGUUGGCGGGGUAACGGCCCACCAAGCCUUCGAUGGAUAGGGGUUCUGAGAGGAGGGUCCCCCACAUUGGAACUGAGACACGGUCCAGACUCCUACGGGAGGCAGCAUG